GUUGUCGUGGUCAAAGGUUAAAGCGAUAGACUAGAAAUCUUUUGGGAUCUUCCCGCACAGGUUCGAAUCCUGCCGCCAUCG
rnacentral:tRNA from 1 species